CCCGGGCUCCAGAAGUUGUCCGGGCGGCUGCGAGGGAGAGCGCUGGGCUGGUGACGUCAUCUAGGCGAGCGAGGCGGGGCUGCGGACGGUGGGCGGGAGGCUGCCAACGGUUUUGAGUGUGGGCAAGGAGGCGAGGGUGGGUGUGCGGGGGGCCUUGGUCUUCCGGACCGGGGCUCAGGGGAGGGAGACAAUCCCUGGUCCACACCUUGGCAAAUUGAGGACGACUGAGGUCUGGCGGUGUGGCGAGGAGUCUCCAGGGGUGGUCGGGGUAGAGGAUCUGAGGCUAGGCUGGAAGGUGGUGGACUUUUUAGAGAGGUCUGACUGGGUGGCCGAGAGGUCACAAAGUUUCUCUUGGUAUAGUACGGAGGGAGGGAUUCUGGGGAGCCUUGCUAUGGCUUUCUUGCCAGGAGCGGUCGGAGGGGAUAUACAGGAGGGUUGACCGUGGGUGGAGCGGGAGCAUGGCGAAAGGCGUGAGGAGGUGGGGAGAGGGAGGGUCCUGCCUCUCUGCGACGGGGGCCAGGUGAGGGCCAAAUAAGACUGCUAGAGGGAAAUCAGACCCUUAUUGGAUUGGGUCCGUUUCAGUUUGCACGUUCUGGGUGUGAGAAUUUAAGAGCCUGUGCCAGAAGUUGGUCUGCGGCACUCCAGGGGAACUCCAGUGGUGCUGUCGUCCCUCUAUCUUCUGUCCCCACCCCCUCCUUGCUGCACCCUCCUUUUCCACUGGUCCCAGGCAUUGUGGAAGGAAAUGCUUUUGCCUUCUCCCAUGGCCUCUGGAACCGCUGGAAACCUUUCCUCUAACCAGAAAGCUUCCCUACCGUUACUCCCCAAGGAUCCUUGGCUUGGAGUCUUUCUCCUUUCUCCCAAAUCGUCUUUCUCGGUGCACUUCCCCCCCUCGGGUCUCCUAAAGCAGGACCAGAAGUUCCCAGCUCUGCUGUCUGCAGUUGUCUCGUGCUUGUACUCAUGGCAACAUCAGCUACCAGCCCCGGUUCACCUCUCCGGGCUGAGGAUCUCUUGAGUGAUGCAUCAGAAGGCCCUGGGCUGAACCAAGUAUCCUCUGAGGUGACCUCCCAGCUCUAUGCUUCUUUGCAUCUCAGUCGUCAGGCGGAAGCCACUGCCCGAGCCCAGCUGUAUCUCCCCACCACCUCCCCACCUCCCCAUGAGAUGUUAGAUGGCUUGGCCCAAGAGCUGAGUCUCAGCUUGUCGGCUGGCUUGGAGAACAACUUGAAGAGAAAGGAUGGCUCCAAGCAUAUCUUUGAGAUGGAAAGCGUUCGGGGUCAACUCCAGAGCAUGCUCCAGACCUCACGGGAUACAGCCUAUCGGGAUCCCAUCACUCCAGGUCCUGGCUCAGAGAGACGAGAAGAGGACUCCUUUGACAGUGACAGCACAGCCACUUUGCUUAACACCCGGCCCCUGCAAGACUUAUCUCCAUCUAGCUCAGCCCAAGCCCUGGAGGAGUUGUUUCCCCGCUACGCCAGUCUUCGGCCGGGGCCCCCCCUCAAUCCCCCAGAUUUCCAGGGGCUGAGAGAUGCACUGGAUUCCGAGCGCACCCGUCGCAAGCAUUGUGAGCGCCAUAUUCAGAGCCUGCAGACCCGGGUGCUAGAGCUCCAACAACAGUUAGCUGUGGCUGUGACUGCUGACCGCAAGAAAGAUAUCAUGAUCGAACAGUUGGACAAGACCCUGGCCCGAGUGGUGGAGGGCUGGAACCGGCAUGAGGCUGAGCGGGCUGAGGUGCUGCGGGGGCUGCAGGAGGAACGCCAGGCCGCCGAACUCACCAGGAGCAAGCAGCAGGAGACAGUGACCCAUCUGGAGCAGAGCCUUUCCGAGGCCAUGGAGGCCCUGAAUCGCGAGCAGGAAAGUGCCAGACUGCAGCAACGGGAAAGAGAGACGCUGGAGGAGGAGAGGCAGGCUCUGACGCUGAGCUUGGAGCUAGAGCAGCAGCGGAGCCGGGCCCUGCAAGAGGAGCGGGAUGAGGCCCGGGCCACACAGCUGAGCGAGCGUCGGCAGCUGGAGGCGCUGACGCUGGCCCUGGAGGAAGAGCGGCAGGCCUGGGCCCAGCAGGAGCGGCAGCUGCAGGAGCGCUGCGGGGCCCUGCAGGAGGAGCUGCGCGCUCAGCUGGACAAGGAGAAGGGGAACACCCAGAGGGAGGCGCAGGCGGCGCGGGAGGCCCAGCAGCAGCUGGCGCGGGCGCAGGCGGAGGCGCGGCGGCUGGAGGGGGAGCUGGACACGGCUCGGAGAGAGAGAGACGCCCUGCAGCUGGAGAUGAGCUUGGUGCAGGCGCGGUGUGAGAGCCAGCGGAUCCAGCUGGAGUCGGAGCUGGCCGUGCAGCUGGAGCAGCGGGUGACCGAGCGGCUGGCACAGGCUCAGGAGAGCAGCCUGCGGCAGGCGGCCUCCCUACGGGAGCAUCACAGGAAGCAGCUGCAGGACCUGAGUGGACAACACCAGCAGGAGCUGUCCUCGCAGCUGGCUCAGUUCAAGGUGGAAAUGGCAGAGCGGGAAGAGAGGCAGCAGCAAGUGGCGCAGGACUACGAGCUCAGGCUGGCCCGGGAGCAGGCACGCGUGCGGGAGCUGCAGAGCGGCCGCCGGCAGCUGCAGGAGCAGCGGGCCGAGCUGGUGGAGCGGCUCCAGGCCAUGCUGCACACCCACUGGGAGGAGGCGAACCAGCUGCUCAGCGCCGCUGGCCUGCCGCCCAACCCCCCGGUGCCUGCCACCAGCCCCUCCAGCCCUGGGCCUCAGGAGCCGGAGAAGGAGGAGCACAGGCUGUGGACUCUGCCUCCCGUGGCCGUGGCCCUGAAGCCCGUACUGCAGCAGAGCCGGGAAGCGGGGGUUGAGCCACCUGUUCUCUGCAGCCCUUCCCCAGACCUCAGCCUCCUGCUGGGCCCCUCUUUUCAGAGCCAGCACUCCUUCCAGCCCCUGGAGCCGAAGCCAAGCCUCACCUCAUCCUCGGCAGGGGCCUUCCACCCUGACCACAGGCCGGAGCGGCCGUUCCCUGAGGAAGAUCCCGGGUCCGACGGGGACAGCUUCCUCAAGCAGGGGCUGCCGCCCCCCUCCCAGCUCGAGGGCCUCAAGCAUUUUUUGCAGCAGCUGCUGGAGACGGUACCCCAGAGCAGCGAGGCCCCCUCUGUUGAUCUCUUGCCCCCGAAGUCUGGUCCGCUGACCGUCCCGUCUUGGGAGGAAGCCCCCCAAGUGCCACACCUCCCACCCCCUGUUCAUAAAACCAAAGUGCCCCUAGCCAUGGCGUCCAGUCUUUUCCGGGCGCGUGAGCUUCCCUCAAGCCACUCCCAGGGCAGCGGUCCCAGCGGUGGCUCCCCAGAGAGGGGUGGAGACGGGCUGGCUCCCGCGGGGCAGCUCAUGGACGUGUCUCAGCUCUUACGACUGUACCAGGCUCGGGGCUGGGGCACGCUGCCUGCCGAGGACCUGCUGCUGUACCUGAAGAGGCAGGAGCAUGGCAGGACGGACAGCCGAGGGGUUAACGUCCCCAGAAGGAACACAGACUCCCGCUUGGGUGAGAUCCCCCGGAAAGAGAUCCCCUCCCAGGUGCUCCCUCGCCGCCUCGCUCCAGCCCCUAAGACCGAAAAGCCUCCAGUUCGCAGGAAAGGCGGGCACCCUCCCCCCAGCAGCACGAGGAGUCGGGGGGGCAUCUGGAGAUGAGCCCCUUGCCCUUCCUACUCUUCUUGAGUAAAUGCUCGAGAGUCUGUUCGAGUCUCUGACUCCUAGGCAUCUGAGAAAAUGGAGAUUUCAUGGGAAACUACUUGUGAACGAGAAAGAACCGGCCCGUGUGCGGAGCUGAGGAAGGCCCUGCAUCACUGCACACACACGGAGGGCCAGGAGUACGACUGAGGUCCAGCUGCAGGACGACGCCCUGGGACCCGCAUCCCCUCCAGCUCAGAGCCCAGCGCAGGCGGCGAGGAUGCCAGGUAUGGCUCGGAAGGGCCUGGCCGUCCCGGGGUGUCUUCUGUGACGGGGGCGAGGCUGGUCUCUCUGCCCCCCAGUUACGUGGUUAGUGCCAGCAUAGACGCGAUGGCACACACCUCAGUGUUCCAUAGACGCAAAAGCGUGGGCCUUGCUUGCUGCCACCGCGGAGAAACUUCCGAGCCUCCGGGGGAGGGAGAGGGAGAGAAGAUGGACGGCCAGCACCGGUUCCGGCCAGGACAGCUUGGCCCUCGGUGCCUGCACUCAGGGCUGCUCUCUGGCGGAGAGACGCCCUCCAAGCCCUGUCUGUCUCUCUACCCACCUAGGAGAACGUUGACUUUGCUCCUUUUUGAUUUGAACAAACUCUGGUGGCCUUUGGUCGCCGUUCGUAGAUCAUUUUAUGCCAUUUUUAAAAGCUGGUGAGAUGAACACUGAGUCUUACCUCCUCGCCUCCUGGGUUCCAACCUGCCCCCAUCCGUCAACACACCCUACAUUUUUCUUGACACGAAGGAUGGUCCGGAGAACGUCGCCCAGCUCUCCAGAACAAAAUCAGAAGGGGGCACAGUGCUGAUGUAACCAUUCUGUGAGCUAAUUAUAGAAAGACAAUGUCAGUUGUUAAAA